rnacentral:rRNA from 1 species
CCUACGGGUGGCAGCAGUGAGGAAUAUUGGUCAAUGGGAGAGAUCCUGAACCAGCCAAGCCGCGUGAGGGAAGACGGCCCUAUGGUUUGUAAACCUCUUUUGUCGGGGGACAAAACCCGGGACGCGUCCCGGUCUGCGUGUCCCCGAAGAAAAAGCAUCGGCUAACUCCGUGCCAGCAGCCGCGGUAAUACGGAGGAUGCGAGCGUUAUACGGAUUUAUUGGGUUUAAGGGGUGCGUAGGCGGACCGUUACGUCAGCGGUAACAUUGCGGGGCUCAACCCCGUCGAGCCGUUGAAACUGGCAGACUUGAGUUGGCGAGAAGUACGCGGAAUGCGCGGUGUAGCGGUGAAAUGCAUAGAUAUCGCGCAGAACUCCGAUUGCGAAGGCAGCGUACCGGCGCCAGACUGACGCUGAGGCACGAAAGCGUGGGGAUCGAACAGGAUUAGAUACCCCUGUAGUC